rnacentral:rRNA from 1 species
UACGUAGGAUGCAAGCGUUGUCCGGAAUUAUUGGGCGUAAAGAGCGCGCAGGCGGUAUGACAAGUCAGAUGUGAAAGAGGCCGGCUUAACCGGCAAGGGUCAUUUGAAACUGUCAGACUAGAGUGCAGCAGAGGAUAGUGGAAUUCCCGGUGUAGUGGUGAAAUGCGUAGAUAUCGGGAGGAACACCAGUGGCGAAGGCGAGUCUCUGGACAUUUCCUGACGCUGAGGCACGAAAGCCAGGGGAGCAAACGGG